UCGACAGGAAGUUACAGAGGAAUAUAAAGUUUGGGGCUUUAAGGGUUAAUUGUCG
rnacentral:tRNA from 1 species